UCUCCGCUGAAACUGUUAGGAUCAAAUUCAAGUACGUUCAGAUUUGAGGCAUUCGAUAUUGAAAUCGGGAUUUGUCCGAAGAAUUGGUUGCUCACUAUGGAAAAGAACUCAACAUAUGGCAUGUUGAUUGGCGUGUUAGAAUGAAGAGUACCUUGAAUCUUGCUGAGACCAAUAUCAAAAGCUCUCAUAUUGGAGAGGUUGAACAUUGUGACAGGAACAACACCGGAAAUUGCAUUUCCUGCUGCCGAGAAAAAUGAAAGAUUUGUCAGUUGUCCAAGAGCUUCAGGUAUAAUCCCACUUAAUGCAUUAUACGCCAAACGAAGCUUCUCCAGAGAUGAUAGGUUCCCCAAGGAAUGUGGGAUACUCCCUCUCAAACUGUUGCGG